UGAUGGCUUUCCCCCUAGGGAAGGAGCAGCCAGCCAUUGCCCCCAUUGAACAUGUGCUCAGUGGCUGGAAGGCAAGAACUCCCCUGGAGCAGGAAAUUUUUACCCUCCUCCAUAAGAACAAGCAGCCAGUGACAGACCCUUUACUGACUCCCAUGGAAAAGGCCUGUCUCCAAGCCAUGAACCUGGAAGAGGCAAAGAUGCACCGAGCAGAGCUUCAGAGGGCCCGGGCUCGGUAGUCCUACUAUGAGGCCAAGGCUCAAAGAGAGAAGAAAAUCAAAAAUAAAAAGUAUCACAAAGUUGUAAAGAAAGGAAAGGCCAAGAAAGCCUUAAAAGACUUUGAGCAGCUGCAGAAGGUUAAUCCGACUGCAGCAUUGGAAGAACUGGAAAAAAUUGAAAAUGCCAGAAUGAUAGAAUGAGCCUUAAGCACCAAUCCAGUGGGAAAUGGGCCAAGUCAAAGGCAAUUAUGGUCAAAUAUGACCUGGAGGCUCGCCAAGCUAUGCAGGAACAGUUGACCAAGAACAAAGAACUGACAGAGAAACUCCAGGUAGCCUUUGAGAGUGAAGAAGAGGAGGGAGGCACAAAAGUAGAAGAACUCUUUGUUCCUGAGGUAGUGAAUGAAGUGCAGAAGAAUGUGGAUGGACUGAAUCCCUGGAUGCUCAGGAGCUACACCAGUGACACCAAAGAGGUUGCAACCCAGGAGAACCCUGAGCAACUGCCAGAGCCUGCAGCCCAUGAGGUCUCUGGAAGUGAGAGAGAAGAAAGACCAGCAGCAGAGGAAGCAAUUUUGUUGAGAGGAUUUGAGGAAAGGAGAUCCCUUAGAAAAAGUUCUGAGCUCAACCAAGAUGCUGAGCCAGCAGGCAGUCAAAAAACAAAAGAUUCUAGCAGCCAGGAGGUGCUGUCUGAAUUGAGGGCACUAACUCAGAAACUGAAGAAAAACCAUCAGUCCAGGAAGCAAAAAAGCAAGUUCAGAGGGGACAGUUCCCCAGGUCCAGAGAGAUGAAGCUGCCCCAGAAGAAGAGGAGUCCCUGUUGCCAGAGAGGCCAGAGAGAGUACAGACUCUGGAAGAGCUGGGAAAAGAAGAUUGUUUUCAAAAUAAGGGGCUUCCCAGACCUGUGUUAGAAGGGCAGCAGUCAGAGAGGACCCCAAAUAAUUGGCCUGAUGCCCCUAAGGAGAAGAAGAAGGAGCAAAUGAUCGACCUACAGAACCUCCUCACCACACAGUCUCCUUCCAUGAGGUCUUUGGCAGUUCCCACAACAAUAGAGGAGCUGGAAGAUGAAGAGGAGAGAGACCAAAGGCAGAUGAUAAAGGAAGCUUUUGCUGGGGAUGAUGUCAUCAGAGAUUUCUUGAAAGAGAAGGAAGCCGUAGAGGCGAGUAAGCCAAAAGACAUGGACCUGAUACUACCUGGCUGGGGUGAGUGGGGUGGUGUGGGCCUAAAGCCCAGUGCCAAGAAAAGACGCCAGUUUCUCAUUAAAGCCCCAGAGGGUCCUCCAAGAAAAGAUAAGAAUUUGCUAAAUGUGAUUAUCAAUGAGAAGCGCAACAACCAUGCAGCGGCUCAUCAGGUACGAGUGCUUCCAUAUCCAUUUAUCCACCAUCAGCAAUUUGAAAGGAUCAUCCAGACUCCCAUAGGAUCCACGUGGAACACUCAGAGGGCUUUUCAGAAGCUGACUACUCUCAAGGUCAUUACCAAGCCCGGCCAUAUCAUUAAGCCCAUAAAAGCAGAGGAUGUGGGCUACCAGUCUUCCUCAAGAUCAGACCUGUCUGUCAUACAGAGGAAUCCAAAACAAAUCACCACAAAUCACAAAAAACAGCUGAAGGAAAACUCUGUAGAUUGAGUAGCUGGAGGAGUGACAGCCUGGAGCCUUGAAUCCACUUCCUUUGGUCCAGUUUUACUCUGCUACAGGGUGGAUUCCAAAACUGGUUCAGCACAUUGCAUGUAGUUCAGCCACAUUUAAAAAAAAAAAAAGAAAAUGGAUGACCGUUAGUUAACUAGUACUUUAGAAUUUAUCAGACAUUUUUAGAACAGAAAAAUUUGGUACAUUUAAAUUCUAAACAAUACAGUGGAUGACCCUUUUGAAUAUACCUAAUGAUUUCCUUAAAAAAGAAAUUUUAAACAAACUUGUUUGGUCAUCUUCACAAAGCAUACAGGCCAGAGGUGAGACUGACUGAUGCUUUAUAGGUGUGUGUAGGUAGGACAGUAGAGGCCAACGUGCUGCCAGCAGUCCUUUCCAUACUAGGUACUGGUGAAAAUUGUUUUUGUUUAGUGCUGUCAGCACAUUUGUGUGGGUCUCAUUAUCCCUUAACAACACUGAAUUACAGCCUGGAAGUCAGCUUUAAGUCAUUCAAGAGAACUUGAGGUUGUUUUUCUGACAGUGAUUAUGUGAUAUACAGAUACAUCCACAGAGUGUCUUACCAGCAUAAUGCAUUGUAAGAGCAAAGUGGCAUUUUGAAAGAGGACUGGGCAAGGAGUUAGCAUAUCUGGGCCUACCUUCAGCUUCAUCAUUCACAAGCUUCUGACCUUUUGAUACUAAAGCGGCUCCUUUACCUUUCUGAGUCUGAUGUUUCAUCUGUAAUCUGGAGUUGUUAAUUCCAGUCCCUACUACCUUUUAGAGUUGGAAUCAGAUGGAAAGUUGGUGAAACUACUUUGAAAAUUGAGUUACUUUAAUUAAAGGUAGCAUUACAUAGUAAAUGUCUUCUAUAAUCCUAUGUUUAUUAAUGCAUUACAACUGAAUGUAGAUUCUUAAUUACUAGGCCAGUAGCUAGGAAUUGGUAUAAAUUUAAUGCAACUUCUAUCCUGAAAAACUAGCAUGGAAAAGUGAAUACAUAUGUGGGCAGACAUGGCUAUAAAGACCUAAAACUUUUGCAUUUUCUGCCUAUAUAAUCAAUCCUUUCUAGUACAGCGAAUUGACCCCCUCCAUAGCCUGAUUCAUCUUUGCGCUAAGGGGCAAAUGAAAGGGUAUAUUAUUCCUUUGCAGUCUCUUCUCAGUCAUUCACCAAUCUGGCCAGCUUAUCUACUCCCAAUUAGGUUGUUGAUCUAUCUGCAGGCCAUCUGUCAUCAGAUCAAAAAGUAGCAAAACAGAAGGUCAGUCACAGGAUGUUCUGAUGCACCAUUGUAACUUUGUGUUAGAGAUGAUCCCAUUUAGAAAAAGACUGGUAGAAAUUGGAGUGAAAGGAACCCUAUAGAUUUUCUAGCCCAGUUCUCUCUUAUUUUCAGCUUUACAGACAAGAAUAAUUUAGAUCUAAAUAAUUUGGCAGACUCCUUCAGUGUCACAAAGCUGUUUAAUGAAAGAAUCAAAAGUAUAACCUGGAUAUUCUGACUCCUGGCCCAGUGCUUUUUCUGACUUUGUAGCCACAUUAUGAAGUAGGAUUCAUACUCAGCCUACUUAUCUACACAGAGAAAAUAUGGGACCAUAGAUAAAUAAAUUGAAACGCCCAGAGCAAAAGGAGAGGAUGUAGUAAAGAAAAAGUUUUCCGGAAUUCCAUAAGAUAUAUUUUAAGCUUACAUCUUCUAAAUGAUUUUCAUAUAUCACAGAUAAAUCGUUGGAAGAUAUAAUUUGCAUAUAUGUUCUUUAUCAAUGUUCCUAAUGUAUCACAUGUAUUCUGUUUUUUCUGAAUGACAGCAUGAAAAGUGUCAAAGUGGUAUGUCUGCUAGUAUCUGCCUGCAGAACUUCAGGAUGACUUAAUUUCUCUCAAAUAUCAUUUUUGAGUGGUCCAAGCCUGCUGUGUUUUGAACCCACAGCAGUGGAGAUUUGUAUUCUUAUUUACAGUUGUGUACUAUAAAGGAUGUGUUACAUAGGCUUUGUGUAAUAAUUAUUUGUAAAUAUGAUUUAGAUUUGUAUUUAGACAUGAUUUACAUCUAAGAGAUACAAAGUCUGUGUCUAAAUUUGAUUUAAAUAAGUGAUUUUUCAUUCCCUUGGAUUCUUUCCAGCAUGGUGCCUUUUGUAUGCCUCACAUGGUCAUCUUGUUCUCCCACUAAUAUUCCCAAGCUCCAUAUGCCAAUAAAAGAAGAAAGAAAAAUAAAAAA